AGUGAACGCUGGCGGUAGGCCUAACACAUGCAAGUCGAACGGCAGCACAGUAAGAGCUUGCUCUUACGGGUGGCGAGUGGCGGACGGGUGAGGAAUACAUCGGAAUCUACUUUUUCGUGGGGGAUAACGUAGGGAAACUUACGCUAAUACCGCAUACGACCUACGGGUGAAAGCAGGGGAUCUUCGGACCUUGCGCGAUUGAAUGAGCCGAUGUCGGAUUAGCUAGUUGGCGGGGUAAAGGCCCACCAAGGCGACGAUCCGUAGCUGGUCUGAGAGGAUGAUCAGCCACACUGGAACUGAGACAAGGUCCAGACUCCUACGGGAGGCAGCAGUGGGGAAUAUUGGACAAUGGGCGCAAGCCUGAUCCAGCCAUACCGCGUGGGCGAAGAAGGCCUUCGGGUUGUAAAGCCCUUUUGUUGGGAAAGAAAAGCAGCAGGUUAAUACCCCGCUGUUCUGACGGUACCCAAAGAAUAAGCACCGGCUAACUUCGUG
rnacentral:rRNA from 1 species